GACCCCAGAAGGUUUGACACGGGGUCUCCUGCUGCGCCAGUAUCGGGUGGGUGAUGGAUGAACUUUAGGCAGUCUCCCACCCGGUAGUGGUGCUGCAAGAUUCCCAAUCUCAAAGAGGAC